AUACACAGCCAUAGCACCCUGAAAACACCUGAUCUCAUCGGACCUGGGAAGCUAAGCAGGGUCGGGCUCGGUCAGUACUUGGAUGGGAGACCAGCUGGGAUCAGCGGGUGCUGUGAGCU
rnacentral:rRNA from 1 species